CGAGGUCUCCAUCCAGAAGACAGACAUGCAGAUGCUGUGGUCCCUCCUCUGCCUGCUGACAGCUCCCCUGGGUGUCCUGUCUCAACUUACACUUCGGGAGUCUGGCCCAGGACUGGUGAAGCCUUCACAGACCCUCUCUCUGACCUGCGUUGUCUCCGGGGGCUCUGUCAGCAGCAGUUACUACUGGAACUGGAUCCGCCAGCGCCCUGGAAAAGCGCUGGAGUGGAUGGGGUACUGGACGGGCAGUACCAGCUACAACCCGGCUUUCCAGGGCCGCCUCACCAUCACUGCUGACAUAUCCAAGAACCAGUUCUCCCUGCAGCUGAGCUCCGUGACCGCCGAGGACACGGCCUUGUAUUACUGUGCCAGAAGCACA